UAAGACAGAGGUGCCAAGCGUUAGGCGGAAUCACUGGGCUUAAAGCGUGUGUAGGCGGAAUGGUAAGUACCUUGUGAAAUCCCACGGCUCAACCGUGGAACUGCUUGGUAUACUGCUUUUCUUGAGCCACUUAGGGGCAAUCGGAACAAACGGUGGAGCGGUGAAAUGCGUAGAUAUCGUUUGGAACGCCAAUGGUGAAAACAGAUUGCUGGGAGUGUGCUGACGCUGAGACACGAAAGCCAGGGGAGCAAACGGGAUUAGAUACCCCGGUAGUCCUGGCCGUAAACGAUGUCGACUAGAUCGUGGUAGCUCUGACGCUUUCACGGUCGAAGCAAAAGUGCUAAGUCGACCGCCUGGGAAGUACGGUCGCAAGGCUA
rnacentral:rRNA from 1 species